AUUUGCAGAGGAUGCUUCGGGAGCGGUCCCCAUCUAAGUUCCCUGGAACGGGACGUCAUAGAGGGUGAAAAUCCCGUAUGGGAUGGGGUGUCCGCGCCCGUGUGAAGCUCCUUCGACGAGUCGAGUUGUUUGGGAAUGCAGCUCUAAAUGGGUGGUAAAUUUCAUCUAAAGCUAAAUAUUGGCCGGAGACCGAUAGCGCACAAGUAGAGUGAUCGAAAGAUGAAAAGCACUUUGAAAAGAGAGUUAAAAAGCACGUGAAAUUGUUGAAAGGGAAGCGCUUGCGACCAGACUCGCUCGCGGGGUUCAGCCGGCAUUCGUGCCGGUGUACUUCCCCGCGGGCGGGCCAACGUCGGUUU
rnacentral:rRNA from 1 species